GAUCAGCUUUUGAAAGGCGGCGUAAGCUGUCGCUAAGGGAUGGCCCCGCGGUGCAUUAGCUAGUUGGUAAGGUAACGGCUUACCAAGGCGACGAUGCAUAGCCGAGUUGAGGGACUGAUCGGCCACAUUGGGACUGAGACACGGCCCAAACUCCUAUGGGAGGCAGCAGUAGGGAAUCUUCCACAAUGGACGCAAGUCUGAUGGAGCAACGCCGCGUGAGUGAAGAAGGUUUUCGGAUCGUAAAGCUCUGUUGUUGGUGAAGAAGGAUAGAGGUAGUAACUGGCCUUUAUUUGACGGUAAUCAACCAGAAAGUCACGGCUAACUACGUGCCAGCAGCCGCGGUAAUACGUAGGUGGCAAGCGUUGUCCGGAUUUAUUGGGCGUAAAGCGAGCGCAGGCGGAAAAAUAAGUCUAAUGUGAAAGCCCUCGGCUUAACCGAGGAACUGCAUCGGAAACUGUUUUUCUUGAGUGCAGAAGAGGAGAGUGGAACUCCAUGUGUAGCGGUGGAAUGCGUAGAUAUAUGGAAGAACACCCAGUGGCGAAGGCGGCUCUCUGGUCUGCAACUGACGCUG
rnacentral:rRNA from 1 species